GGCGAGGUGGCUCAUUGGUUAGAGCGCAGAAUUACUGACCGGUAGGUCUGGUUCGAAUCCGACUCCUGCCU
rnacentral:tRNA from 1 species